GUUAUACGGAGUUUGAUCCUGGCUCAGAAUGAACGCUAGUUAUAUGCUUUAUACAUGCAAGUCGAACGUGAUAAAUUUUUUAAUUUUGAAAGUGGCGAACGGGUGAGUAACGCGUGAGAAUCUGCCUCUUAAUCCGUAGAGAUUGUGGAUGUUCAUUUGAAACUGAAUAAAUUUUAAGAGAUUGUAUUUUGAAGUUCGAUGUUCUAUAUAAAUAUUGGGGAUGGUACAUAGUACUCGUAUUUAUAUUAGACUUUAGUAAGCAUUAAUGGAGAUUAUGAUUCUUUUAUAUUGAAAAGUUUCUAAAUGAUAAAGAUCAUUUAUUGUCGUUGAGAGAUGAGCUCGCGUAGGAUUAGGUAGUUGGUGGGGUAAAGGCCUACCAAGCCAAGAAUCCUUAGCCGAUCUGUGAGGAUGGUCGGCCACAUUGGAACUGAGACACGGUCCAAACAUUUGUUAAUGGCAGCAGUAGGGAAUUUUGGACAAUGGGCGAAAGCCUGAUCCAGCAAUAUAACGUAGAAGAUGAAGGCUAUAUUGGUUGUAAAUUCUUAUAGUGAUUUGAAAGAUUAUGACUGUAUAUCAUGAAAAGUCCUGGCAAAUCUCGUGCCAGCAGCCGCGGUAAUACGAGAAGGGCUAGCGUUAUUCGGAAUGAUUGGGCGUAAAGUGCAUGGAGACGGUAUCCUUUUAAAUAUAAUAUUGAAUCCAAUACGCCUAGGUGAUUAAAUUCAAAGCUUAACUUUGAAAAAUCAUUUAGAGAGGAUACUUGAGUUAUGUUGAGGAAAGUGGAAUUCUUGGAGGAGAAGUAAAAUUCCUUGAUACCAAGAGGAAGGCCGAGAGCGAAGGCAACUUUCUAGGUGAAUUAACUGACGUUAAUAUGCGAAAGCGUGGGUAGCGAAAAGAAUUAGAUACUCUUGUAGUCCACGCCGUCAACGAUGACUUUUAUUUGUUGCUUUGGAGGGCCCCUUACCGAUCCACGACGGGAUUAUGGAUGUCCCUGGUAUCAAUUGACGUAUCAGUAACGAUAUGAAGUAAGGCUGUCGUAUAAAUUGUAUACUAUUAUAAUUGUAUCAAAAUAAUGCAAUUAUAAAUAGUGUAUAACUUUAAAAAGUUAUAUAUUAUAUGAAUUAAUAAGUGAUUAUUAAUUUGUGUAUUAUACAAGUUAUAUUAUAUUACAGAAAUUAAUAUAGCAGCAUCGUGAUGAUUAGUUUGGACUAACCCUUGGUUGAUUGCAGCAAAAAAGCUAACGCGUUAAAAAGUCCGCCUGAGGAGUACGGUCGCAAGAUUAAAACUCAAAGGAAUAGACGGGGAAUCGCACAAGUGGUGGAACAUUGCGGUUUAAUGCGAAAUAACACGCAAAACCUUACCAGCUCUUGAAUUAUUAAUUUUAAAUUUUUUUGUAAUUAAAUUAUUUAUUUUAAUACAGGCGUUGCAUGGCUGUUGUAAGUUCGUACCGUGAGGCGUUAGAUUAAUUUCUUUAACGAACGAAACCCCUUUUUCUAAUUGCUAAUUAAAAUUAUUUUUUAAAGAACUUUAGAAAUACUGCCGGUGACAAAUCGGAGGAAGGGAGGGAUCACUUCAAGUCCUCAUGACCCUUAUGAGCUGGGCUACACGCGUGUUACAAAGGCGAUGACAAACAGAUGCGAAGAUGAGAGUUGGAGCAAAUCUGAAAAAAAUCGUCUCAGUUCAGAUUGUUCUCUGCAAUUCGAGAACAUGAAGUAGGAAUCACUAGUAAUCGUGGAUCAGCGUGCUACGGUGAAUUUGUACUCGAUUCUUGUACUCACCGCCCGUCACACUCUGGGAGAUAAUAAAAUUAGAAAGUUAUUAAUUAGUGAUUAAAUAUUUAUAAAAUUUAAUGUUUUAAUAUGAAUUGAUUUCGUAUUGUAUUUAAUUAUGGAUUGUAACUUACAAUGUUGUUGUUAACUGGAGUGAAGUCGUAACAAGGUAACCGUAGGGGAACCUGCGGUUGGAUUUUUUUUUGU
rnacentral:rRNA from 1 species